rnacentral:rRNA from 1 species
AAUGAACGCUGGCGGCGUGCUUAACACAUGCAAGUCGUGCGAGAAAGUCGACUUCGGUCGAUGAGUAGAGCGGCGAACGGGUGAGUAACACGUGGGUAACCUGCCUAGGAGCGGGGGAUAACCUGGGGAAACUCGGGCUAAUACCGCAUACGUUCUCGGCGCUACGGCGCUGAGAGGAAAGCUGGCCUAUUCUUGAAAGCUGGCACUCCUAGAGGGGCCCGCGGUCGAUUAGCUUGUUGGUGGGGUAACGGCCUACCAAGGCUGUGAUCGAUAGCCGGCCUGAGAGGGCGAUCGGCCACACUGGGACUGAGACACGGCCCAGACUCCUACGGGAGGCAGCAGUGGGGAAUAUUGGACAAUGGGCGCAAGCCUGAUCCAGCAACGCCGCGUGGAGGACGAAGGCCUUCGGGUCGUAAACUCCUGUCAGUUGGGACGAAAAGCCGUCGGUCAAUAGCCGGCGGUCCUGACGGUACCAGCAGAGGAAGCCCCGGCUAACUCCGUG